rnacentral:rRNA from 1 species
UACAGAGGUGGCAAGCGUUGUUCGGAAUUACUGGGCGUAAAGCGCGCGUAGGCGGUCUAUCAAGUCAGAGGUGAAAUCCCUGGGCUCAACCCAGGAACUGCCUUUGAAACUGAUAAACUAGAGUGUCGGAGGGGAUAGCGGAAUUGCUAAUGUAGAGGUGAAAUUCGUAGAUAUUAGCAGGAACACCGGUGGCGAAGGCGGCUAUCUGGACGACAACUGACGCUGAGGCGCGAAAGCGUGGGGAUCAAACAGG